rnacentral:rRNA from 1 species
AUUGAACGCUGGCGGCAUGCUUUACACAUGCAAGUCGAACGGUAACAGCACUUCGGUGGCUGACGAGUGGCGAACGGGUGAGUAAUACAUCGGAACGUGCCUAGUAGUGGGGGAUAACUACUCGAAAGAGUAGCUAAUACCGCAUGAGAUCUAAGGAUGAAAGCAGGGGACCUUCGGGCCUUGCGCUACUAGAGCGGCUGAUGGCAGAUUAGGUAGUUGGUGGGAUAAAAGCUUACCAAGCCGACGAUCUGUAGCUGGUCUGAGAGGACGACCAGACACAGGGGGAGAGGAACGCGGCCCAGACUCCGAGGGGGGGCAGCGGGGGGGAAUUUUGGAAAAGGGGGGAAGCCCUGACCCAGCAAUGCCGGGUGCAGGAAGAAGCCCUUGGGGUUGAAAACUGCUUUUUGACGGAACAAAAACGCCUCUUUUAAAACAGGGGGGUUAUGACGGUCCCGUAAAAAAAACCCCCGGCUAACUACG